AUUCAAUCCUCAAAAGCUAAGCAGAGUCAAUCUGAGGAAGAAGACAGGUAUAUAGACACAGAGGGAGGGACAGAGAAAAGCACAAAGGAGACAGCAGAAAUUAUACCGGAAAGGACAGAGGAGACUCUAGAGACAACAGUUGAAAUGGAGGAAAGGACAGAGGAGAGCGCAGAAGGGACAGUAGAGUCAAAUGGAGGCACCAAAGAACAGGCUGAGGCUCAGGUGACAAUUCUGCACAGCAGUCUCCAAAAGAAGGACCAGAGAAUAAAACAACUAGAGGCACGCCUUGCAAGGCUGCAAAGGCUAAGACGCAGGAAAAGGAAGCCAGCUGGCAUGCCAAAAAAAUCCAAUCCCCAUGAAAUUAUGGAGGAGAGGCUCCAGAGGUGUCCUGAGGGCUGCCGGAACUUCAUUAGGGCACAACUGUCAGAGGCAGGGAAAAAGGACAGAGGGAGAAGGUUCAACAGGCACAUGAAGGAUCUAGGGCUGCAGCUGUUACACAGCAGCCCAAAGGCCUACCGACAAAUGAAGGCCAUAUUCUCGCUUCCUUCUGGAAGGACACUUCGAUGUUACGUUAGCGCACGUGUGGGAUAUUUCUCUCCUGGCUUCCUACAGGGAAUCAUCUCCCAAAUGGGAGUCAUCGCCGCCACCAUGACCCCUGUGGAGAGGAUGUGUACGCUCGUCCUGGACGAGAUGUCAAUCAAAAACAAUUUGAUUACGAUCGCAAGAACGAUGCCAUUUAUGGUGUAUCUGCAUCUGGGGCUGCAGCAAAACAAGCGAUGGUCGUCAUGGCUAGGGGCAUUAUGGGGAAAUGGAAGCAGACGGUUGGUUACUUCUUUUCCCCAUCUUCAAUGCCAGCAGAUGAUAUUGCUACCGUCAUUAAGGAUGCCAUUCGCCACCUACAUCAUAUAGGGCUGACAGUGCAGGCAGUAAUAUGUGACCAGGGAAGCCCUAAUGUGAAGGCUGUGCGGAACCUUGGGGCUAGCCUGGACCCUCUGGGAGGUGAGGAGUCCCACUGUAUCCUGGUGGGGGUUCAGAGGGUUCCUGUGAUUUUUGAUGUCCCUCACCUUCUGAAAUCAAUCAGGAACAACCUGUUCAAACAUGCCCUACAGACACAAGGAAAAACGGUUCUUUGGAAGCACAUCAGCCAAUUCUAUGAGCUGGACAAGCUCCACACUAUUCGCAUGGCCCCGAAGCUUACUGAUAAGCACAUUCUGCUGCCAGCAUUUUCCAAGAUGCGUGUCAGUUUGGCUGCACAGGUGUUCAGCCACACUGUCUCUGCUGGCAUUUCUGCGAUGGUAACAUUGCAGAGACUGCCAGCAGAGGCAAAAGAUACAGCUGACUGUGUAGCCAAAUUAAAUCACCUUUUUGAUGUGCUAAAUUCCAGAUCAGUCAAGGAUUCUAACCCCUGGCGACGACCCCUAGGCUCCGGAAACCAGGAGAAGGAGAACUUCCUGAGGGAAUGCAUCAGCUGGGUGGCAAGCUGGCAGUUCAGAUCUCAGCGUAAGCCACCUCCUUCCCAGCACGGAAUGUGCCUCUCAAUAAAAAGUGUCCUUCUUGUCCACAAGAGGUGCACAGAUACAGGAAUGAAGUAUCUGUGCACCUCAAAAUUGAACCAGGACUGCAUUGAGAACCUAUUCUCCUUGAUUCAAGGCAAAGGGGGGCACAAAUACAAUCCCAGUGCGAGGGAAUUCACCUCUGCACUCAGGGGUUUGAGUGUAGCCAACAUUUUACCUGCUCUUUCUGCAUCGACUGCAUCAAACUGCGAGCUGGAUGACGGGACAACCCUCCAAGCCAGUAUGUCAGAGGACGCAAUCCCCUCCACCUCAACAGCUCCAAUGACCUCAAUGGCCCUCCCUACCACCCUGACAACAGAGAUGGAGGAUGAAGAACCAGUGGUAUCGGACAUUGUGGAAGAUCAGACUGUUGGCGAUUGCAUCCAGGAGGAGGGCCUGUUCUACGUUGCUGGCUGGCUUGUCCGGGUCCUUCAAAAGGAGGAAAUUGUUCAGGCCUGUCCACACUGUGAGGUGCUGUUGUUGGGUGCCAGACAUCAGGACCACAGCUACGCCACAAGUGAGGACCACCCCUUCCUGGAGGCAAAAAAAUACACGGCAACGGCAAACCUAAUGAGGCCUUCGGAAGGGUUUUUCGCUGCCAUCCAGCUUUUGGAGGGGGAAUUUGGACGGAACAUCGACGCUUUCUGGCCUCUCACCCAGAUCACCAAAAAAAAUGGAGAGGGCUCUGGGCAGUCUGGGGGUGUUCAAAAGCCUCUUCAGCUCACACCCUGAGCAUGCAAUUCUAUUGGAGACGAUAGCAAUAAAAAAAUUUGUGAUGUGCAGGCUCGGGGGGGGGAAAUCCGUGAGAG
ensembl:lncRNA